rnacentral:sRNA from 1 species
AAAAAUGCCCGCUUUCGGCGGGCAA